UGCGUAGUGACGAUCCGAUGUUGCUUCAUUGAUUGCUGCUGUGGAUAAAACAGCGACGAUGUUCGUGCAUCGAUGCUGACGAACAUCGCUGCUUCUUCGUGUGUAGCGGCAUUUUCUUUCCAUUUUCUCUUCAUAUGUUGUGCGUUGCGUUGAUGGUUGCAGUGCGGUGUGAUAGAGAUGAAGAAGAUGAUGGAUUUGAGGAAGUGGUGGUGGUACUUUGUGGAUAGAAGCUAUGGAAAUGGUACGGUGAAGGUGGUGGUUGCGGGUUCGAGGAUUUUUUUAUUUUGAUGGUGGUUGCGGUGCGGUGCGGUGAGGGUGGUGGCUGUGGGUUUGGGAAUUUUUUUUGUUGGAGUGGUGGUACAGGUGGUGCUACAGGGGGUUGAUUGUGGUAAGGCAUUGGUUUUGGUGGUUGGAGUGGUGGUGGUGGCAACUUCCAUAUUUUGGCAAUGGUUGCA
rnacentral:lncRNA from 1 species